CGACGGCGGUUCCUCUUCCUGUCUGAAGUCGAGCAGGAGGAUUUUACGCCGUCGCAGAGAACUGUGGGUCUUUUCACCCAGAAAGCUGCAGGUGGAGCCCGCCAACACGGCUCUCUGGUUUUGUGGGACCCCACAAAC
ensembl:snoRNA